rnacentral:rRNA from 1 species
CCCUUAGAUGAUUUGGGCUGCACGCGCGCUACACUGACCCUAACAAUGAGCAACUGUCUGGCCUGAGAUGGCUGGGUAGCCUUUUCAACCCAUGUCAUGAUUGGGCUAGAUUUUUGUAAGUCUUGAUCUCUAACGAGGAAUCCCUAGUAUGCGUGAAUCAUCAAUCCAUGCAGAUUAUGUCCCUGCCCUUUGUACACACCGGCCGUCGCUCCUACUGAUUGGGUGAUCCGGUGAGCUGUUCGGCCAUAGCAAUGUUUCUUGAGCAGGGCAAUGAAUGUUUCGCAAACCUUGCCACUUAGAGGAAGGAGAAGUCGUAACA